AGACCGAUAGCGAACAAGUAGAGUGAUCGAAAGAUGAAAAGCACUUUGGAAAGAGAGUUAAAAAGCACGUGAAAUUGUUGAAAGGGAAGCGCUCACAACCAGACUUCUGGGCGGUGUUCCGCCGGUCUUCUGACCGGUCUACUCGCCGUCCCGAGGCCAACAUCAUCUGGGACCGCUGGAUAAGACCUCAGGAAUGUAGCUUCCCUCGGGAAGUGUUAUAGCCUGUGGUGAUGCAGCGCGUCUCGGGUGAGGUCCGCGCUUCGGCAAGGAUGUUGGCGUAAUGGUUGUCAGCGGCCCGUCUUGAAACACGGACCAAG
rnacentral:rRNA from 1 species